AUUGAACGCUGGCGGCAGGCCUAACACAUGCAAGUCGAACGAGUGGCGGACGGGCGAGUAAUGUCUGGGAAACUGCCUGAUGGAGGGGGAUAACUACUGGAAACGGUAGCUAAUACUGCAUACCAUCAGAUGUGCCCAGAUGGGUUGAGCUUGUUGGUGGGGUAACGGGUCACCAAGGCGACGAUCCCUAGCUGGUCUGAGAGGGUGACCAGCCAGACGGGAACUGAGGGACGGUCCAGACUCCUAAGGGAGGAAGCAGUGGGGAAUAUUGCACAAUGGGCGCAAGCCUGAUGCAGCCAUGCCGCGUGUAUGAAGAAGGCCUGAGGGUUGUAAAGUACUUUCAGCGGGGAGGCGUUACCCGCAGAAGAAGCACCGGCUAACUCCGUGCCAGCAGCCGCGGUAAUAC
rnacentral:rRNA from 1 species